GGUUAAGCGACUAAGCGUACACGGUGGAUGCCCUGGCAGUCAGAGGCGAUGAAGGACGUGCUAAUCUGCGAUAAGCGUCGGUGAGGUGAUAUGAACCGUUAUAACCGGCGAUUUCCGAAUGGGGAAACCCAGUGUGUUUCGACACACUAUCAUUAACUGAAUCCAUAGGUUAAUGAGGCGAACCGGGGGAACUGAAACAUCUAAGUACCCCGAGGAAAAGAAAUCAACCGAGAUUCCCCCAGUAGCGGCGAGCGAACGGGGAGGAGCCCAGAGCCUGAAUCAGUGUGUGUGUUAGUGGAAGCGUCUGGAAAGGCGCGCGAUACAGGGUGACAGCCCCGUACACAAAAAUGCACAUGCUGUGAGCUCGAUGAGUAGGGCGGGACACGUGGUAUCCUGUCUGAAUAUGGGGGGACCAUCCUCCAAGGCUAAAUACUCCUGACUGACCGAUAGUGAACCAGUACCGUGAGGGAAAGGCGAAAAGAACCCCGGCGAGGGGAGUGAAAAAGAACCUGAAACCGUGUACGUACAAGCAGUGGGAGCCUCUUAAUGGGGUGACUGCGUACCUUUUGUAUAAUGGGUCAGCGACUUAUAUUCUGUAGCAAGGUUAACCGAAUAGGGGAGCCGAAGGGAAACCGAGUCUUAACUGGGCGUUAAGUUGCAGGGUAUAGACCCGAAACCCGGUGAUCUAGCCAUGGGCAGGUUGAAGGUUGGGUAACACUAACUGGAGGACCGAACCGACUAAUGUUGAAAAAUUAGCGGAUGACUUGUGGCUGGGGGUGAAAGGCCAAUCAAACCGGGAGAUAGCUGGUUCUCCCCGAAAGCUAUUUAGGUAGCGCCUCGUGAAUUCAUCUCCGGGGGUAGAGCACUGUUUCGGCAAGGGGGUCAUCCCGACUUACCAACCCGAUGCAAACUGCGAAUACCGGAGAAUGUUAUCACGGGAGACACACGGCGGGUGCUAACGUCCGUCGUGAAGAGGGAAACAACCCAGACCGCCAGCUAAGGUCCCAAAGUCAUGGUUAAGUGGGAAACGAUGUGGGAAGGCCCAGACAGCCAGGAUGUUGGCUUAGAAGCAGCCAUCAUUUAAAGAAAGCGUAAUAGCUCACUGGUCGAGUCGGCCUGCGCGGAAGAUGUAACGGGGCUAAACCAUGCACCGAAGCUGCGGCAGCGACACUAUGUGUUGUUGGGUAGGGGAGCGUUCUGUAAGCCUGUGAAGGUGGCCUGUGAGGGUUGCUGGAGGUAUCAGAAGUGCGAAUGCUGACAUAAGUAACGAUAAAGCGGGUGAAAAGCCCGCUCGCCGGAAGACCAAGGGUUCCUGUCCAACGUUAAUCGGGGCAGGGUGAGUCGACCCCUAAGGCGAGGCCGAAAGGCGUAGUCGAUGGGAAACAGGUUAAUAUUCCUGUACUUGGUGUUACUGCGAAGGGGGGACGGAGAAGGCUAUGUUGGCCGGGCGACGGUUGUCCCGGUUUAAGCGUGUAGGCUGGU
rnacentral:rRNA from 1 species